rnacentral:ncRNA from 1 species
GACAAAGCGAUGCGGAAGACAAGUAGAAUCGGGGCGCCUUGCUCAGAGAGGGCGGCCUUCGGCUGCGAGCUGCCUCAAGGCAACCGGUUCGAAGCCCCUUCCAAGCGCGUGUGGCAAAGCACGCCGGGUGUGCCCGUUACAGCGCCAGAGGCGACAGGCUCGGACGAGCCUGUAAGCAGGGUGGUACCGCGGGAAACUCCCGUCCCUGAU